CACCUGGUUCAACAGAUCUAGCACCAUGGAAACUUUGGCUCUUCUCCAAAGUCAAAAUGACCACAACCAUGAAAGCAAACCUUCUGAAUCCAUUCAUGACGUCUAUCCCUGAAAGAGGACUUCCACAAUGGUUUCAGGAAGAGGCAAGAAUGACAGAUAGAAGUAAAGGAGAGACUUGGACUGAGAUAAACUGGCUUCAUCACAUCUGGACAAGAUAGAUACUGCCUGGGAGAGACAGACAAGAGUGGAUGCCUUUGGAUGAGAAGUAAACAUCUACGUAAACAGACGCAUUCAAGACUUACUGCUGAAUGACCAAUCACCGCACAGA